rnacentral:rRNA from 1 species
AUUGAACGCUAGCGGGAUGCCUUACACAUGCAAGUCGAACGGUGUGGCGAACGGGUGAGUAAUGUAUCGGAACGGGCACAGUAGCGGGGGAUCACUCCGAGAAAGCGUAGCUAAUACCGCAUACUAUUUAAGCAGGCGAUAUCGGAUUAGCAAGGUGGUGGGGUAAAGGCUCACCAAGGCGACGAACCGUAGCUGGUUUGAGAGGACGACCAGCCACACUGGGACUGAGACACGGCCCAGACUCCGACGGGAGGCAGCAGUGGGGAAUUUUGGACAAUGGGGGAAACCCUGAUCCAGCCAUCCCGCGUGUGCGAUGAAGGCCUUCGGGUUGUAAAGCACUUUUGGCAGGAAAGCGGUACCUGCAGAAUAAGCACCGGCUAACUACGUGCCAGCAGCCGCGGUAAUUC